GGCAAAUUCGGGUUUGGGUUAUUGUGGGCGUUUCUCAAACGGCCUGACGCGAUGAAUCGUUCACAUAUACCUUACUUUCAAUCAUCUUCACAAGUCAAGGGUUAUUGAUUCGUUACCUCGCACUAACCCUUGACAUCAGUCGCUAUUUAAAAGUUGGGCUCGAGAAAAAGGAUGACGCAAUACGCUAAAAUUAAUCAGCCAAUGGGAUUUCUUGUUUCAGAUGAAAGUUUGGUAAGGGAAUAAACAGAAAGGAAAAAAUGGCGUCCGUUGACGAAAAGAUAUGUGAAAAACAUCAAAUCGAUCAUUUGACUGAAAACCAAAAGCUUUCAAUAUCAUGUAUCAGAGAAGGAAAAGAUGUUUUUAUUGGGACUAAAACCGGCAGUGGUAAAUCGCUAUCUUACGAAGUUGUUCCCAUUAUUUUGGACAAUUUGUUUAAUUUGUUAAAACAUAGUCGACAAACGUACUUCGACAAUCCAUCAUUUUCAUUCGGAUCAUACCCCAAAUCCUCGUCUAAUUGUUUCUUCAAGCAAAACGAACUCCCGAAAAUCAAUCGACGGUAUCUGUCUUGUACUAAUUGGCCACAAAUUUUACACCAUAAUGCCUUCGCCAUGCGUGUUUACUGUUUAGUUUUGUUUUCGACCGAUAUAAAAGCCGUUGUCUGAUUGGUUUGCAGCUUCAGGCUGCAAACCAAUCAUAUGCUUCUUCUCGAGCCCAACUUUUAAAUAGCGACUGAUGUCAAGGGUUAGUGCGAGGUAACGAAUCAAUAACCCUUGACUUGUGAAGAUGACUUUCAAUAUAUGUACGGUUUCUUUCCGUUCCAAUGCCGUUCAUUCGAAGAAAAAGAUGUUUUUACACCUCCAAGUGCCUAAGAAUUUCGCUAGACUGUCUUACUUCCGGUUUAAUCGCACUGAAUCGAAAGAUGAAGUUCUGUCGUCAAUUGACGAGAAAACAACCAAUACGCCGGUUUCGAGAUACGUACGAGUUAUUUCCCUUUGGAGAACUCUCGUACAUAGUAAGGCGCGAAAGAAUUUGUUUACACGCGGGAGUGGGACAGAUAUUCAUCAUAGCGCAUUCAAAGUUCCACUAAAUGCACCUCCUAUACAGAAGAGUUCGUAUCUCGAAACUGACGUAUUAGACACCACCUGGAAAGCGACAGCCUUGAAGACCAAAGGGCACGCGGAGGAGGACAAUAGAAACAGAAGGAAACCAGUAAUCGCCAGAGCCGCGAGUUACGGACCUUGUUGCUGCCUUAUGUGCAGAAAUACUUGAAGACUGUCGUCGAUCGAAAGAUCAGAGCUCCCUGAAUUUCGAACCUUUUAUAUUGAGUGACUUCAGGUCAUUUUCAACUGUAUUCACAUCACCAGUAAUGACCUGACGAGCUGAACUGCAGUGGGAAGAAGAACUUGUAGGAGGGUUUUGUUUAAGGUGAUCUGUAUCUAGACACUGUAAAGUGCCACGUAUUAUUCAGCAGCGGAUCCAUGGUUUUGCUAAGAGAAGGGACAUGAUAGGGAUAUGGAGUCGUCUUUAUGCCCUAGAGUGGGUCCAGGGUCAAGCCCUGGUGGGGACCAGGGGGACAUUUUAAUGCAGUGUUAUAAGCUCUCGUAUCGGUAAAGUAAGUUCUUUAAUAAAUAGAAAACUUCCUUAAGUCGAGCUGAAGCCGCAAUUUACGUGAUCCCUAAUAUGUAAGAGUUCUAAUCGGCAGUGAUAAGCAUGCAAUUAUAAGUACUCGAUCCUUUUUGAAGAAGUCAAAAUUACAAAAUCUGAUUGAAUAUCAAUAAAAUUGUGUGUGUGUUGAGUCCCGAAGGGGAGGGCAUGGGAGGGGUUCACCCCCUCCCAGGGGGGGGGGGGGGGGGGCUCCCCUGGAAAAUCUUAAAAAGAUUGAUUCAAAAUGGUGCAUUUUAAUGCCUUUUCAACUGAAAUUCUUGUUCCUUCUUCCUUUCAUUUACAGUCACCACAUCCUUUAUAGAAUAUAAACAAAAAGAAUAAACUUGACUUAUUGAUUCAAAAUCAUUCAUUUUAAUGCAUUUCAGACUGAAAUUAUGGCCCCUUCUUGUUUUGAUGCAUAGUUAUCACUAUAAAAAAAAUAAUAGAAGAGCGGGAGGGGGGUGUCCGAACCCCAACCCCCCCCCCCCCCCUCCCAAAUCCACCACUGCACAAUCCAUCCAUCAUGUGUCAUUAUAUAGAGAGAGACCAGUCAAGUCGGCAAUAUAUUCUAUUCGACCUUGAACUUAUCGACGUUUCUGUGUAGUGCGAGACUGAAGGGCACCGAUCCAGUCAACCACCCAAACAUUUUAGCCCAGAAUUCAUACCCCUAUCAUUUUUAGAUCUCUUGCAGAUCUCGACUCAUAAAGGAUUCUGCGACUAGUUUAGACGUUUGUUUUGCGAACAACUUUUCCCGAAGUUUUAGAGCUUUUACCAAUCGGCUUAUAAAUGUUGCAUAAUUGGAUCAAUUUUUGCAAUAUUAUAACAAUUGUUUAGUUCAUUUAAUGAUAAUUCUUUCUCCAUGUUUUGGUACAUUGCAGGCUUAUACGGCAGACUGCCAUCACUGAAUUGCAUAUCAGACCGAUUGUGCAUCCCCCAAAGAAGACAAAUAACGAGACAAGGGGCUCUCACCACACUUAACGUUCUCAUUGGAGUAGGAGAGGGUUACUUUCCCGAUUUUUUUCUUUACGAGAAAUGAAAAGACCAGUGAUUUAAAGAACUGAAUGCAUGCCUACCUCGUCGACUUGGAAUUUGCGGAGCCGGAUUUGCCGACUGUUGGCAGCCCACUGAUCUCGCUCCUCUCGGGACUGCAUCAUCCUAGAUCUACACAAACUCGCAUACGUGCUGGGAGUAGCGAAGCGAACAAGGGUACAUCUUGUGUGUCUGUUUUCCCCGUCGGAAGUUAUAUCCAGCUGAGACAGGAAAAGCUUCCUGCGAGAAUCCACCGUUUUCUGUGUCAGUCUUCACACCUCGACUUCAUCAUUUUACAGUAAAACCCGAGAAUGGACGACCGUGCAUUAAGAAACGCGCUGAAGUAUCAUCAAUAUAAUAGAAAUCAAUGAAACUACAAGUUAACUAAUAGUGAAUCAUCUUUAACCCUCUGAUAGUAAAAUUCACCAUAUCAUAAGAAAUAAACAUCCUUA